GUAAGGAAUAUUGGACAAUGGUCGGAAGACUGAUCCAGCCAUGCCGCGUGAAGGACGAAGGCGCUCAGCGUUGUAAACUUCUUUUGGAUGGGGAUAAUAACCUCGAUUUAUCGGGGCUUGAAGGUACCAUCAGAAUAAGCACCGGCUAACUCCGUGCCAGCAGCCGCGGUAAUACGGAGGGUGCGAGCGUUAUCCGGAAUCACUGGGUUUAAAGGGUGCGUAGGCGGCGAGGUAAGUCAGUUGUGAAAUUCCCCGGCUCAACCGGUGGGACUGCGAUUGAUACUGCUUUGCUUGAAACAGGUUGAGGUAAGCGGAAUGUGACAUGUAGCGGUGAAAUGCAUAGAUAUGUCAUAGAACACCGAUUGCGAAGGCAGCUUGCUGGGCCUUGUUUGACGCUGAGGCACGAAAGCGUGGGGAGCAAACAGGAUUAGAAACCCUAGUAGUCC
rnacentral:rRNA from 1 species